rnacentral:rRNA from 2 species
UGGGGAAUAUUGGGCAAUGGGCGCAAGCCUGACCCAGCAACGCCGCGUGAGGGAAGAAGGUCUUCGGAUUGUAAACCUCUGUCCUUGGGGACGAAAAAAAUGACGGUACCCAAGGAGGAAGCUCCGGCUAACUACGUGCCAGCAGCCGCGGUAAUACGUAGGGAGCGAGCGUUGUCCGGAAUUACUGGGCGUAAAGGGUGCGUAGGCGGCAAAGCAAGUCAGAUGUGAAAUCCCCGGGCUUAACUCGGGAGGUGCAUUUGAAACUGCAUUGCUUGAGUGCAGGAGAGGAGAGCGAAAUUCCUAGUGUAGCGGUGAAAUGCGUAGAUAUUAGGAAGAACACCAGUGGCGGAGGCGGCUUUCUGGACUGUAACUGGCGCUGAGGCACGAAAGCGUGGGGAGCAAACAGG